CUUGAGCGACCCCAGCAGCAGCGGCUCGGAACGGUCCUGGCCGUAGGUGGCCAGGAGUGCCUGCGCCUC
rnacentral:antisense_RNA from 1 species